AGAGUGAGACUCCGUCUGAAGAGAAAAAAAAAUUAUUCUAUAAAGUUAUGUUAACUACUUAAGAUUUACUGUUCCCACGAGUGUUUUCAUUUUUACAUAGGCAAAUCUAAAAGUAUAAAUAUUGUACAAAACACAUACACAUACAUUUCCUCAACAGAUGUUUAAUAGAACUAUUGGGUACCAUUAUUCCAUUUUACAGGUGCAGAGGUAACUUGCCGAAAGUCAUUUAUGUAGUAAAUGGCCGAGAUGACCAAUCCUCUUUCCACUCUUCCCCAG
rnacentral:lncRNA from 1 species